rnacentral:rRNA from 1 species
UUUAGAAUUAAAAUUAAAAUUUUAAGGAUUAAUAGUUAUAUUCUUUAAACUUAAAAAAAUUGGCGGUAUUUAAAUCUAAUUAGGGGAAUUUGUUUUUUAAUUGUUAAUACUCAAAAAACCUUACUUUAAUUAUUAAUUUGUUUAUUGUCGUUAUCAAAAUAUUUUAAUAGAAUAAAAAUUUUUAAAAAUUUUUAUAUAAAAAUUUAUUUCAGAUCAUGAUGCAGUUUAUAUUAAAGUUAAAAUUAAUUACAAUAAAAUUUAUUUAUAUGGAUAUGAUAUUGAAAAAUGUUUUAGAAGGUGGACUUAAUAGUAAAUUUAAUAAUUAUGUUAAUUUGAAUUUAGAAUUAAAUAUGU